rnacentral:lncRNA from 1 species
AGGUGACAUAUAAAUAAUAUGGAACAAUGUUGUUGGGACGAGAUGAAAUUCAUCCGCUAAUAUCGCGUGAGGAAAUUGCAAGUCCAAAAAAUCGGCUAGACGCGACAAAUUACGAAUUUCAUAAAAACAAAUUAGUUAUAUAAAAAAUAAGGUGAUAGUGGUACAGACACACAUAAAUAAAAUAAAAUAAAAAAGUUAAUUCGUAAAUUCUCUUUCGGCGUAAAAUGACUCAAGGUUUGUCGUACUUACUAAAUAAAAUUUCAACCUGACACUUUUAAUCAAGUAAAAAAAAAAAUCAAAAAUUUUAGAUUGUUUAGUAGAAAAGAAAGUAUAUUACAUAUAU